rnacentral:rRNA from 1 species
AUACGUAGGGAGCAAGCGUUGUCCGGAAUUAUUGGGCGUAAAGAGCUCGUAGGCGGUUCGGUAAGUCGGGUGUGAAAAUCCAGGGCUCAACCCUGGGACGCCACCCGAUACUGCUGUGACUAGAGUCCGGUAGAGGAGCGUGGAAUUCCUGGUGUAGCGGUGAAAUGCGCAGAUAUCAGGAGGAACACCAGCGGCGAAGGCGGCGCUCUGGGCCGGUACUGACGCUGAGGAGCGAAAGCAUGGGGAGCAAACAGGAUUAGAUACCCUGGUAGUCC